UUGUUCCAGGUGUUGUAGUAUUCAUGACUGUUGUUCCAGGUGUUGUAGUAUUCAUGACUGUUGUUCCAGGUGUUGUAGUAUUCAUGACUGUUGUUCCAGGUGUUGUAGUAUUCAUGACUGUUGUUCCAGGUGUUGUAGUAUUCAUGACUGUAGUUCCAGGUGUUGUAGUAUUCAUGACUGUUGUUCCAGGUGUUGUAGUAUUCAUGACUGUUGUUCCAGGUGUUGUAGUAUUCAUGACUGUUGUUCCAGGUGUUGUAGUAUUCAUGACUGUUGUUCCAGGUGCUGUAGUAUCUACCACUGUCGUUCCGGGUGUUGUAGUAUUCAUGACUGUUGUUCCAGGUGUUGUUAUAUUCA